rnacentral:lncRNA from 1 species
UAGGAUGGUAGGACCUACAGAUUCUUGAUUAGAUUAUAGAUGCAAAAAAAGAACCUGGAAUUAUUCCCCAAGAAGCUCCUUCUUCUGAAACCAAGAGGGGACUACAUGAUUCUAUCUGAUGACAACCAGUCAGUGAUCUCAGGUAUAAAAUGCAAUGUCCUAUUGUAACAAUGGCUGGCAUUACACCCAACAUCUAGAAGAAAAAAAACAAUGAUGUCAGAAGGCAGUCAUCUGGAGUGAAUAAAAGGCAAGAGGCUUAUUGCAAAUUCUAAUGCACUUCAUCAUAGAAUUUUAAUUAACUAUUCCAUUCACACCAAUUGGGGACUAUUAAAGCAGUCGUUUCUGAGAAGCAAUCUUUGGGAAAUUCAGGUAAAAAAAGACAACUUCUGUCUUCUGGAACAAUAAGGUUAUGACUUCCUACACCUAAUAAAAGGUGACUAUAUAGCCAGGCGUGGUGGCACGCGCCUGUAAUUCCAGCUACUCAGAAGGCUGAGGAAUGAGAAUCGCUUGAACCCGGGAGGUGGAGGUUGCAGUGAGUAGAGAUCGCACCACUGCACUCAAGCCUAGAUGACAGUGAGACUCUGUCCCCCACUCCCCCCACAAAAGUUAUCAUGCAGGAUCUGCCCUGGGAUAUAGUUUAAUUAUGUAACAUAGUCUGAAAAUAAGCAAAUUACUUAUAUACAUGCUUUGAUCUUUCUCUAUCUGAGGAAUGGGAAGAACAUAGUUUACCUCUCUAGAAGUCGCUUCUGAGAAUUGUGGUCCAUGCUCCAUUCUGAAUCCACAAGGAAAGGCCUUCACACUAUACAUGGCAAUUGCCAUUAGAUAUUGUCUUCUGGUUAUGGCGCAAUGGGCUGAUUGCCUUAGUUAUGUCAGAAAGGUGUUUGAAGAGCCUAUUGUGACUUGCCUGGUUUUAAAGGCUUGAGUUAUAACUGGCUAAUAAUACACAUUGAUACUGUCUGCAGCUUUUAACAAGUGUUUUUUGUUUGUGCUUAAUACUUAUCAGAUGACUAGGUAAUUUUUGAGGUUGACUCACCAGGGCAUUUGGUUUCAUGGGUCAUUAGGGACCUGAAUUACAGGCCCUUCACAACACUUAGCAAGUGAAUCAUACUGAACAAUAGAAUCUCUUUUAACCUUUGUCUUUUUAAAAAUUAAAUGAUAAUAAAUCAUUCGACCCUACAUUAAAUCUUCUCCUCUCCUCUCCUCUCCUUUCCUUCUCGACAGGGUCUUGCUCUGUUGCCCAGGCUGGAGUGUGGUGCAAUCGUGGCUCACUGCAGUCUUGAGCUCCUGGGCUCAGGUGAUCCUCCUGCCUCCUGCCUUAGUCCCUCCUUCAGCUGGCACUACAGGUGUGCAACACCAUGCCCAGAUAAUUUUGUAUUUUUUGAAGAGAUGGGGAGGAUCUCUCUCUGUUGCUCAGACUGGUCUCAAACUCCUGACCCAGAUUGAUCCUCCCACCUUGGCCUCCCAAACAUAGCCUAGUACUCUAGGAGUUUCCCUGCUUGCAGAGAGGAACAGUGCUUUGCUAGAACUGUUAGAACAAAGAAAAGAUGACUGGGUGCGGUGGCUCAUGCCUGCAAUCCCAGCACUUUGGGAGUCUGAGGUGGGCGGAUCAUCUGAGGUCAGGAGUUCAAGACCAGCCUGGCCCAUAUGGUGAAACCCCGUCUCUACUAAAAAUACAAAAAUUAGCCAGGCGUGGUGGUGGGUGCCUGUAAUCCCAGCUACUCAGGAGGCUGAGACAGGAGAAUUGCUUUAAUCCAGGAGGCGGAGGUUGCAGUGAGCCGAGAUUAUGGUAUUGCACUCCAGUCUGGGCAACAAGAGUGAGACUCCGUCUCAAAAAAAAAAAAAAAAUUAAUUAAAUUAAAUUAAAAAAAAGAACAAAGAAAAGAUGUUACCACGAACUCUAAAAUGGCACACUUGCAGAUUUCUCACUGGGGAAGAUGUCUCGUCUUCCUCGUGUUGUUCCCGUUUUCUUUCUCAUCCAGGGUCCGACAGGGAUGACAUCAACAGAAGCUCAGGCUAGAAGGAAGAUGAGGUAGCAGUGGGCCUGGUCUGCCCCAACCCCCAGGAGUGACUGGCAGCACACAUAGCCUGAAUCGACAAGAUUUUAAAAAAACAUAUAUGUUUUGGUUUUCACAAAUUCUCCCACCUGUUGGUAAGUACUUUUGAAAAUUUAAAUCAUAGACUCAUUCUUUUAUGACAUUUUCCAACAGACGUUCCCAAUAUAAAAUCUCAGACUACCCUUAACUUCCUCUGAAGCCCAGGGCUCAUUUGCAUCUGUAAUUCUGACAUCUACCAUCUUACAGAGGGUUCUGUAAUUACCAAGGCAAUGAGCACAAGUCCCUGGUUCUCUCGGCAAUCCAACCCUCUGAAGCAAGAAAAUGCACCCCUCUGCCAAGUGAGGGUCUGUUUUUCUCUCCUUAAAAUCUGCAUGAAAUAGUUUGCCAAUCCCAGAUGAUGUGAUAAGACGUGGUGUGAUGCGAUAAAAGGGGUAACCAGCACUUUGGGAGGCCGAGGCAGGAGGAACACCUGAGGUCAGGAGUUCAAGGCCAGCCUGGCCAACAUGGUGAAAACCCGUGUCUAGUAAAAAUACAAAAAUUAGCUGGGCAUGGUGGCUGCCACCUGUGAUCCCAGCUACUUGGGAGGCUGAGGCAGGAGAAUCACUUGAACCUGGGAGGUGGAGGUUGCAGUGAGCCGAGAUUACUCCGUUGUACUCCAGCCUGGGCAACAAGGGAAAAACUCCAUUUCAAAAAAAAAAAAAAAAAAAGGUGGGGGGGAUAGCCAGGAAGAAGCCCUGUUCUAAUCCCGAACAGCUCUUUCCCUUGUCCACCCUGUUUCAGAUCACAUUGUUUAAAGCAACAAUAAUAAUAAUAAUUAUAACAACAGAGAAGAGAACUUGCGCGAAUUUACUUUUAUUUUAUUUUUUCUAAGACAGCAUCUUGCUCUGUCACCCCGGCUGGAAUGUAGUGACGUGAUCACAGCUCACUGCAACCUCUUCCUCCUGGGCUCAGGUGAUCCUCCCACCUUAGCCUCCUGAGUAGCUAGGACCACAGGCAUCUGCCACCACACCUGGCUAAUUUUUUAAAAUUUUUUUGUAAAGACAGAGUUUCGCCAUGUUGCCCAUGCUGGUCUUGAACUCCUGGGCUCAAGCUAUGUGCCUGCCUCGGCCUCCCAAAGUGCUGGGAUUACAGGCGUGAGCCACCACACCCAGCCUCAGCAUUUGGUAAGCCUUGAAUAUGUGCCAAACACUCUGCUAAGCAUGUUACAUUCAUUAUAUUAUCCAAUCCACAGACUAACCCAAGAGCAAAGCACCGUUAGUAUAUUCAUCCUAUCGUACAGAUGGGCCUGGGACAGCUAAGAUAGUUGCCUUUUGGGUUGAGCGUUGUCCUGUUUCUUCUCUUGCUUUUAAAAUGUAUUUAUUGAUUCUUUCAACAAAGAUUUAUUGAGCACUUAUUAUGUCCCAGGCCCUAUUUAAUCUUUAUAUAUUCUCAUAUAUUGAUGAAGAUGUCAUGAGCUCAAUAAACUGCUUUGUUCUAAGAGAAGAAAGAAGUUUCUGUAAAAGCAGGGGCUUCUGAGAAAAGAGGGAAAUGUGAACUUCAGACUUCAGUGGCUUCACACACUUCUGCCCUGAGCAGUAUUGAUAAGAAUGCAGUCUCUCAGGUUGAAGUAUGUCACUUUCACCUUUUCAACUGGGUGGGGAGAAUGAUAUCUGGGGAAUGUGAAGUGUUUUUACUGCAGGCUUUCUGCAAAGACCAAAGGGAGAGAUAGGGCCUGAAAAAUGAUGGGGAAUUCCCAGAUCUGAGAAAACUCGUUAAUAAACUUGGAAUCCUGGUGCCCCCGUUUGAAAGGGCCUCGGACGUCUCUGAGUCCAUCCCUUAGACAAGCUCUCUAUUGGAAGCAAGAUGUCCUAUUAACAAAUGUUAAUUUGUUAAACAGACUACUUCUGCCUGCACACACUUUGAAUGCAGGGGAACUCUCUCUCUCAUGAGGCAGCCGAUUCUGGUGCUAAACAGACUGUUCUUCCUCAUACCAAGCCAGGAAUCUACCUCUAUGUCCACUCAUGGGUCCCAGAUCAGUCCUUGGAUGUCAUGAAUACUAAUCCGGUCAGGAAUAAUAAGUCAUGAACAAUAAAUCUGGUAUUUCUUUCAUAGGAGCAUUCAUCUCUAAAAUCAGAAACCUUGUUUCCACUAAGACUUUCUUGUCUUGCUCCUUCAGCUUCCCUUACAUGUCAUGAUUCCAAAUGCUUUACUAUCCUAGCUGGAGCAAGGGGAACUGUGAAUGAAUGAGCUGGAGACACUGGAGGCUUGCUCAGAGGAGCCAUUAUUAAUAAACACACACUGAAGUCACAAGAAACUUUGAAAGAGGGGCUGGGGCCUCUCCUGUGGCCAUUAGGAUGUGGACAAAGCGUCUUUGGAAUGGAAGAGGUUUCUGGGGUCAGGGAUCAUCUGGCUGGUAUUUGAGUCCCUAUAUAGCGCUUGUGACACUCAGAACAGUCUUUUUAAGGCCAGGCUGUGGUGUCUGAAGAAGUACCUGGGAAGCAAAUAUAAUUGCUCUAAGUAGCAUGCUUGACCUAGGCAAUGUACACAGCCAUCUCUGGGGAGAAUUUCAUUUUUAUUAUUUGAGACAGAGUUUUGCUCUGUUGCCCAGGCUGGAGUGCAGUGGUGCAAUCACAGGUCACUGAAGGCUUGACCUCUCAGGCUCAAGUGAUCCUCCCACCUUAGCCUCCCAAGUAGCUGGAACUACAGGUGCACACCACCAUGCCUGGCUGAUUUGUGGAAUCUGAGGGUGAUCCUGAAGACCCCCAAACUUGCAACUAUUGUCUGAAGUAAGGGACUGUUCCAUUAGACUUUGCAGUUUGCUAAACUCUGUUACAGCCCUUCACUCUAGGGAAAUAAACUCUGACUCUUUAUCGAGGUUUUUUUUUUUUUUUUUUGAUAUGGAGUCUUCUAUCACCCAGGCUGGAGUGCAGUGUCAUGAUCUCGGCUCACUGCAACCUCCGCUUCUCGGGUUCAAGUGAUUCUCCUGCCUCAGCCUCCUGAGUAGCUGGGAUUACAGGCGGCCACCACCACACCCAGCUAAUUUUUGUAUUUUUAGUGGAGACAGGGUUUCACCAUGUUGGCCAGGCUGGUCUUGAACUCCUGACCUCAAAUGAUCCACCUGCCUCAGCCUCCCAGAGUGCUGGGAUUACAGGUGUGAGCCAUUGCACCAAGCCUCUUUAUCCAAUUUUGUGCCUCCCCCUGGGACAAGGUGUCCCCAGAGCUAAGGGGCCAUAGCUUUCCUUUUUCUGGAUCACACCCCUGCAUGUGCUGGUGACUGGAGUUUGGAUGUGUGUGCUGGGAUGUCCACAUAGGUGAGUAUGAGUCUCCCCGCAACAUGGAGGGAAUGAGAGAACAGAGGGUGAGUUAUGGUACAAAGGCCUGGAGCCAGGGCCUUCUCUCCCCACACCACCAUACUCCACUGCGGAAUUCCAGACAGUCGAGAAUUCUAAAUUUGAACAUAGACUUCGAGGUUAUCAUGGUGUUUUUUUCAAAGCAGCAAGCUCCCUUUUCAUUUUAUUUUGUUGUAUUUUAUUAAUUAAUUUAUUUUAUUUUCAGUUUUAUUUUAGGUUCGGGGGACAUGUGAAGUUUGUUAUAUAGGUAAACUCGUGUCACUGGGAUUUGCUGUAUAAAUUAUUUCAUUUCCCAGGUACAGGUACUAAGUGUAGUACCCAGUAGUUAAUUUUUUUCUGCUCCUCUCCUUCCUCCCAUCCUCUACCCUCAAGUAGGCCCCAGUUUCUGCUGUUCCCUUCUUUGUGUUCAUAAGUUCUCAUCAUUCAGCUCCCACCUAUAAAUGAGAACGUGUGGGAUUUGGUUUUCUGUUUCUGCAUUUAACUUGUUAAGGAUAAUAGCCUCCAGCUCCAUUCAUGUUCCCCAAAAGUAGCUUGUUUUUUGGAAGCUACGUAAUUUUUUUUUCUUUUCUUUUCUUUCUUUUUUCUUUUUUUGUAGAGAUAGGAUCUCACUGUGUUGCCCAAACUGACCUCAAACUCCUGGCCUCAAAUGAUCCUCCCACCUUGGCCUCCCAGUGUGCUGAGAUGACAGGUGUAAGCCACCAUUCCCGCAGCAAAGCUUAUGGAUUCUUUAAUGCUCUCAACUCUCAUGAAAACAACCACCAUAAAUCUUAGUUCGUUCAUUGUCAUAAAUUAUUUUUUUCCCUAUAUUUUGUAAAGAACUGAAAUUGAGAAAAGACUACUAAUGUGACCCUAGCAUUUCUGUUACUGGAAACUUAUACUUUUAGCCUUAUUUAUAACAUAAAGAAUGCUAAAUUUAUAAUAUAAAUAAUGCUAAAAAGACCAAAGACCAAAGGGAGAGAUAGGGCACUGAAAAAUUAUGAGGAAUUCCCAGAUCUGAGGAAACUCAUUAAUAAACUUGGAAUCUCAGGCCAGGCGCGGUAGCUCACGCCUGUAAUCCCAGCACUUUGGGAGGCUGAGGCGGGCGUAUCACGAGGUCAGGAGAUCGAGACCAUCCUGGCUAACAUGGUAAAACCCCGUCUCUACUAAAAACACAAAAAAUCAGCCAGGUGUGGUGGCGGGCACCUGUAGUCCCAGCUACCCAGGAGGCCGAGGCAGGAGAAUGGCGAGAACCCGGGAAGUGGAGCUUGCAGUGAGCCGAGAUUGCGCCACUGAACUCCAGCCUGGGAGACAGCGAGACUCUGUCUCAAAAAACAAAACAAAACAAAAAACAAAAACUUGGAAUCUCAGUGUCCCCAUUCAAAAGGACCUCAAAGGUCUCUGAGUCCACCCCUUAGACAAACUCUCUAUCAAACUCUGUAUCCCCGCUUUGGUCUUAUUUUUUAUAUGAGGGUAAGUUAUCUUGAUGUUUGCCUCACUGGUAAUAUCAGAGGGAUUUGUUAAGUACGGGAAGUUUGGUUAUAAACUAACUUUGGACAUUCAAAGCCAUGUUCAUAUAAUAAUGCAAAUGUUACUUUAUCAUGAUUUCUUCUUCUUAACAAGAUAACUUUUCUUAUUGUUUCCCCAACUAUAAUUGACUGCUACACUUGCGAUUAGCUUUGGUCAAGAUGCAUUCUUUACAAUGCCUAGAGGGUAUGGUGGAUAGGAUUAUCUCCAUUUUACAGGUAAGGGAGAUGAGGCUGAGAAACUGAGGCCAAGAAGAGUUCAGUAUCUUGCAUAGAAUUUCAUGGCUCAGAAUAGUAGAGCCCAAGUAAUAUACCAAUCUCCUGUCCAGAGCUUUUCACUUUGCAGAAUUCCCAACAACAUGAACUAACUCAAAUGGAGGCAUAAGGAUGAAAUUCACAUAGGCACAUUUAAAUCCCAGAUCUCAUGGAAAAAGUGAAUGGCAUUAAUUAGACCUACCAAUUGAACAACUAAAAAGAAAAUAAGACAAUCAUCUUCUGAGCAAAAUCACAAGAAAAACCCAAGUCUUUCAAAAUCUUACCAAGGGUCAGUUUUUAGAAGACAAUGGUUCCUUUCGUACGUGAGCCAUUUGGUGUAGGGAACUCAGUCUAUCUCGAUUCUUUAGAUUCAUUGGGUUUUCCUUCUUUCCUUCUCUAAGCAGUCAUUAGGCAUCUGCUAAGAGUAAGGCACAUGAAAUGCUUUUAUUAAGGAGAAUGUUUGGCCUUCAAAAGAUUAAUAUCACAGAGAUGGAAACCAGGCCUGUCGCUGAGGUUUGGCGACUGCUACGUCAAAGCCCCAGAUCUGGCUAACCUCAAACUGGUCUCUUAAUUAAAGAGUAAAAUUUAAGGAGAGCUCAUGUAAUUCUUUGGAGGUUUAAGAUAAGAUUUUGUUGACUGGAUACAGUAAUCUAUUUGGGGAGGGGGGAGCUGAAAAGAUUCUUUUCACUUUUAUGUAAGAUAUGUGUUAGUCUUGGCUCUAAAAGAGCAAUUUUAAUCCAAGAUUCUCAAGGAACUCUUCACAGAUUAAUUCAUUUUGGAGAAACAUAACUUCAUUGCUUCCAUUCCACAGAUAUUUAAAAGGGUCCUGGAGGACCCAUUUUUUGUCUGUUUUGCUCCCAGUGGAUACCCCUCUGUUUAAUUUGGAAGAAUAGCAACCACAAUUUAUGCCAAUAGCAUGCAUUUCAAAUGUUAGUGCUGUAUCUACCUCAGAGAGGUAUCUGAGUAAUAGCUGGGCCCAGUGUCUUCAUCUGACCAUCCACCACCCAUUCAUGUAUCCAUCACCCAUCCAACCACCAUCUGUCUAACCAUCCACCAUCCACCAUCCAUCCAUCCAUCCAUCCAUCCAUCCAUCCAUCCAUCCAUCCAUCAUCCACCCACCACCCAUUCAUACACCUAUUCGUCAUCGAUCCACUAUCCAUCCACCCAUCUCCCAUCUAUCCAUUCAUCUACCAUCUACAUCCAUCCACCCCCCAUCCAACACCAUUUAUCUACCCAAUUACCAUCCACCACCCAUCCAUCCGUCCAUCCAUCUACCAUCCACUCAUUCAUUCAUCUGUCCAUCAUUCAUCCAUCCACCACCCAUCUACCAUCGAUCCAUUCAUCUACCAUCCACAUCCACCCACCACCCAUCCAACCAUCUAUCUACCCAAUUAUCAUCCACCACCAAUCCAUCCACCCAUCCAUCCAUCUACCAUCCACCAUCCAUCACCCAUUCAUCCAUCUGUUCAUCAUUCAUCCACUCACAUCUAUCCUCCCAUUUACCAUCCAUCCAUUCAUCUAUCAUCCAUUCACCACCCAUCCAUCUACCACCCAUCCCUCCAUCUAUUCAUUCAUCUAUCAUCCAUCCAUUCAUCUAUCCACCCAUCUACCAUCCAUCCAUUCAUCUACUAUCCAAUCAUCCAUUCACCACACAUCCAUCCAUAACCAUCUAUCCACCUACCAUUCAUCCAUUUAUUCAUCCAUCCAUCUACCACCAUCCAUCCACCCAUCUACCAUCCAUCCAUUUAUCUAUUAUCAUUCAUCCAUCCACCACCCAUCCAUCCAUUCAUCAAUCCAUCUGUUGCUGUUGUUAUUACUAUUUGUAUUUAUCGAUAAAGUAACUCAGCCCCAGAAAAGGUAAGUGAUCCACCUAUAGGUUUAGGAUAAAUAAAUCAGGAGUUAGAGAAUCUAUUUCUUUGAUUGUUUGCUUCUCUUUCCCAGAAAGUGAAGGAGGAGAGCCAGAGGUAGGAAGUGGGAGAUAAUUUUCAGAGGCCUAAAUUAUUUUGAUUUAAUUUUGGUCUAAGAGCUGAGUUCUGGGAGUGGGUUUGUUUGUUUAUUUUUGCUUUAAUUUGUAUAUCAAUUCUAAAGCCUCCAAAAUAAAGUUGACAAGACUACAUUUCCCAAUUUACCUAUUUGUUUGAUCAACUACAUCACAAGACCCCCAUGGGCAAAGAUGAUGUUAUUUCUGUCUAAAAUCCCAGUGCCAUAAGUCUGGCACCCUGGGUCCUUGAGGUGGCUGAGAUGCGAAACAGGUGAUAAUGUUAAGAAGAAAAGAGCCCCAGAUGCCGGUCACAGUCUCUUCUCAGGAAAGGGGAGCCCCAGUGAGAACAUUACCCAGAGCAGGAUGCGGGGGGGCAGGUUACUUAGUUCAGUAUCUGGGCAGCCAGGUGAAGAGCAUCAGUCCCUGUAGAAGAGGACUGUGCUUCUCCAUCUCUAGGGGCCCAGCCUCCAGGACACACAGCUCAGCCCUGAACAGAAGCUGAAGAUUCAAGGUAAGAUGAAGCAAAAGGAGCUGGGACAGGCUGAGGAACGCUUUCCCCUAAGUCACUUCCAUUCAACUUGAACCCUCGCAUUGACUGAGCACCUGGAACAGACAAAGCACCAGGCCAGGCAUAUUGUGGGCCUUGACCUGUGCAUUAUAGGAGAGAAGACUUCGGGAGGAGAAUCCAGGCCCUGCCACAUACUCUCUCAGUCCCCUUCCCUGCACAGAUCUGGCAGCUCUCUACUUCCUCUUGGGUUCCUCCCUACCUCGGUUUGUCCGACUUUUAAAGUCAGCAACACAGGGCUGGCCAGGGUGAUUUACCCCUGUAAUCCCAGCACUUCAGGAGGAGGCGGGAGGACCACUUGAAGCCAGGAGUUCAAGACCAGCCUGGGAAAUAUAGCAAGACUCCUUCUGUACUGGGUGUGGUCCCAGCAACUCAGGAGGCUGAGGUGGGAGGAACACUUGAGCCCAGGAAUUGGAGGCUGCAGUGAGCUGUGAUUGUACCACUGCACUCCAGCCUGGGCUACAGAGUAACACCAGUCUCUUAAAAACAAACAAACAAACAAACAAACAAACAAACAAAACAAACAAAAACCCAGCAACACAGAAGAGCUAUGAUCCAGGUACCAUGCAUUGUCAUCCUGAAUUAGGGUGAACAACCAUCCUGGUGUCCCUGGGACUAUCCUGGCUUUAACUCUGAAAAUUCCACAUUCUGGGAAGGUCUUCAGUCCCGGGCAAAUGGGACAGUUGGUCACUCUGACCUGAACUCACUGGAUACUGGAAAGGAACAAUCUGGGAAGAACUGCCCUAAUAAUAGGUAGUCUAUUCUCUUCUCUAUCUACUAAACUUUCUUUUAGGUGUAUUUAGAUUAUUUAUUAUGUAUUUAAGUAGCAGCGAGAUGUGUGCCAGGGUUGACAAUACCGACCCUUGUGGAAUGAUUUUUACAUGAAUUCCCUUUGUCAAGAUGCUCUCAGUCUGUACCCAGGGUGGUUUUUUCACCCCCUCCCCCAACUGUCCAACUCCCCCCAGGGUGUUAUAUGUGGGAAGUUCACUGUAUCUGUUCCUGGAAGGACACGGUUGAAAUUUCAUUCACUGCCUUACACAGUGUCCCCCUCCUGAGACCCAUG